rfam:Kamiti River virus, complete genome
GGCACGAAAGUGUCGGGCCUGACGCACCCGCUCCCCCGAGUCCCCUGGAAACAGGGUGGGCCUCGAAAAAUCCACCGUAGGAAGG